rnacentral:tRNA from 1 species
GCCCUAAUAGCUCAGUGCCAGAGCGCCAGUCUUGUAAACUGGAUGUCGGGGGCUAAACUCCCCCUUAGUGCU